rnacentral:rRNA from 1 species
UACGUAGGGUGCAAGCGUUGUCCGGAAUUAUUGGGCGUAAAGAGCUCGUAGGCGGCUUGUCGCGUCGGCUGUGAAAACCUGAGGCUCAACCUCGGGCCUGCAGCCGAUACGGGCAGACUAGAGUGUGGUAGGGGAGACUGGAAUUCCUGGUGUAGCGGUGAAAUGCGCAGAUAUCAGGAGGAACACCGAUGGCGAAGGCAGGUCUCUGGGCCACUACUGACGCUGAGAAGCGAAAGCAUGGGGAGCGAACAGG